GUUAUUGUGUGUCUGUGUGUUUUAGUUGGAAUAAUCUAAACUAAUAACACUGUAAAACACUAAAUGUUUGAAACAGAUGAAGUAUAACCAACCUUUUGUUCUUUUCUUCCUCCAUCUUGCUUCUAGAUAUCAUGACGUCCCAUUUUUACCAAGACUCUGGUCCCAGACCAAUGUUUUCAUAUCACUGAUUUGUUGGUCGACUCCCCCUGGUGGCCUGGAGGACUGCCGUUUUGGGGCAGCGAUUCCAGCCGUCUACCUGGGAGCCGAAGUUUGUUUCUUCUGAAGUCUGUCUGGGUGUAUAACGUCGGCCUUCAGGUGUGGGACCCUCAGGAAUUCGGCUGUGAUGUCUAAACUCCGGCUUUUCGUCUCCCUCAGGAAUAUUCAGAGUUUAUUCUGCUGAUCCUCGCAGACAGAUCGUAGGUAAUCAGCUCAGAAAUGUCAGAGUGGUUUCGCAGCGCGGCUCCUCACGGCGGUGACAGGCCGACAUUUGGCUCCUCAUCUACGGCUCCUUAUCUCGUCUUACAGCAGGUCGGCCCCACUCUGCGAUCCUGUCGCCGUUAUCAGGUGCCAGUCGGACUGGAUGAACAUGCGUGAAGAAGGAGAAUAUGCAGAACCAGCCUCUGCUGAGAAGGAAAGUAAAAUAUGCACCCAUUCAGAAAACUGAUCACCCGUCUGGUUAAGGAUCAGAAAACCUUCACUGGGAAAAUAAAAGCUCUGCUUCAUGAA